UACGUAGGUGACCAGCGUUGUCCGGAUUUACUGGGCGUAAAGAGCGCGCAGGCGGUCGUUCAAGUCGAGUGUGAAAGCCCCCGGCUCAACUGGGGAGGGUCACUCGAUACUGAUCGACUUGAAGGCAGGCAGGGGAGAACGGAAUUCCCGGUGUAGCGGUGAAAUUCGUAGAUAUUGGGAAGAACACCGAUGGCGAAGGCAGCCAUCUGGACCGACACUGACGCUGAGGCGCGAAAGCGUGGGGAGCAAACAGG
rnacentral:rRNA from 1 species